GCAACGAUUAUUCAUAUGUAAUGCAACACUUUGGGAGCGUGAUUGUUAAUAUUUGUAGAAGCAACUCUAGUCUCUAUAUAAGCGUGCCCUAAAUGUUUUCUAAAAAUUCCCGCUAUAAUUUUCCCCUAAAAUUUUUACUGAAAAACUAUGCCCUAAAAUAUUCGCUAAAACCUGUCUCUCAUGUUUACUCAUAAUCAAAGUUGAGGGCUCUUCUCGUAUCUUUUAGCAGAUUGAUUGAAGCAAAUUAGAGUGAGUUCAAUUAAAUCUAUUGGGUUAUGUGGAAAUCGCUUACGGAGAUGCUAAACUUUGUCUCGGUUAUGUGCCAUCCGAUUCAAUUGGGAAUCUCAUUGUUUAGGGUUUACUAUCGUUUCUCAAAACUUGGAUAAGAUGACUGCUACUUUUGAAAUUAAGCUCUAUUAUUUUGUGAUGAGAGGUUAUUAUUCUUGAAAGGUGAAUGCUCUUCUUCUUUCAUACAGUAUUUGCCCUUUAGAGCAGGUUGAAAUAAUUGGGGAUUUCAUUGUUUAGGGCUUACAGCCGCAUCCAAAAACUUGGGUAAGACGACUGCUAAUUUUGAAGUUAAGCUCUAUUAAUUCGUGAUGAAUGUUAUUAUUCUUGAAAGGUGGUGGAAGUAAUUUAUUGUUGAUUGAGGAUUAUUCAUCUGAUACACUCGUCUAUUGAGGUAAAGUGUAACUAUUAAUAUCCACUUCCAGUGUGUUGUUGUUCAAUACCAAAAAAUGAUUCAUUUCCAAUGGAUUAUUAUCAAUCAACUAUUUAUCAGUUGCAAGGGACAAAGGUCACGAUGUAGAUGUACGUAUGUAUGCGGAGGAUUGUUGCUUAGUUGUUAAUAUCCUUGAUGUUUAAAAAAAGAAGAAAAAUUAAGAUUAGCAACUUCUUACCGCCUAAUCUGUUCUUUUGAUAGAAAUUCUUUAUAGCUCUUGCUUCUUAGUAUCCCGGUAUUGAGGUUUAUUUAGCUUUGGUUAAAGCUAAUAGUGUGCAUGAUCCAAUUGAAUUUUGGGCUUGAAAUGACUAUGAUAUUUUAUGGAUAUGUUGAAAGCAUGCUUUGAGUUGUUAUUACAGUGUUCUUUGUGUGUUUUGGGGAGUAUAUAUGCUAAAAUAUUUGAAGAUUUAGUUAGGUCCUAUGCUUGUUUAACUCGGUUUAAAGAAUCUGUUGGGUUAGAAUAUAAUAAUAAGCAUGUUCCAGUAUAUUUGUUUAAACCAAUUUGCCACCCACAUUAGAAACUUUAUCGUCUAUUGUAUCAAGUUAUAAUAUUGAAUUUCUUCAAAGUUAAUUAUUUACAAAAAGCUCAUUAAAAGAGGGGAAAAACACACACAUAGGAGAAAAAUGAAGUAACAAAAUAAUUUCUCUGGAAGAAAUAGUUGAUUCUUCACGUACUCUUGCAAAAAUUUGUACCUGCUUUCUUAUUGUUUAGAAAAAAUGCCAAUUUAAACUGGUUAGUUUAUCCAUGGACCCUUUUUUUUCUAUUUCAUUGUUGUUUUACCAUUAUGUCUAGGAGAAUUUCAAGCAUGUUGCUAGUCUAUCACAUUCGCUUUUUAAGUACAUACUCAUUUAUGGGGAUUUCUUUGCUUGGUCAGUGAAUCUUGUUAAUGAUCUUGGUGUAAAAUUAUCAAGAGGCUAGAUAAAUGUAUAGAUGGAUAACUGUCCACUUUGAGCUGAUCUUUGAACUUAAUCAGUUGUUGUAGUUGUUUUCCUGUUAAAUAGUGAAAAUCUUCAGACUUCUAGCAGUUUUAACUCCCCAAGGGAUACAAGGCGACUCAAGGUUCAAGGCUCCGAUCGUUCAUGCACUUUCGUAGAGGAAAGUUCUGGCGAGCAAUUGGAAAUGGUGGCCAAAGACAAUUUCAUCUAUGGGAAUUUAAUGAUGACUUUGGACAAUUAAAUUUUUUGUAUUCACGAUACUAUAGUAUUUCGUUUGGAUUUGUAAAGUUGAAAUACUAGCAUGGCCCUUGAAACAAUUUGCUUUAUACAUUAAUGCAGUACACGAGAUUUACUCCA